CAUCUCUUGACUCUCUUCAUAACGUACAAAUCUUUCGCCUUUUACUAAAGAUUUCCGUGGGGAGGGUCAUUAAUGAGUCUAAUAUAAUUUUUGGAAUGCCUGAUGAAAGUCGGGCAC
rnacentral:snRNA from 1 species